rnacentral:rRNA from 1 species
AGGGUCGAAAGAUGGACUUAGUGAUCCGGUGGUUCCGCAUGGAAGGGCCAUCGCUCAACGGAUAAAAGCUACCCCGGGGAUAACAGGCUUAUCUCCCCCAAGAGUUCACAUCGACGGGGAGGUUUGGCACCUCGAUGUCGGCUCAUCGCAUCCUGGGGCUGUAGUCGGUCCCAAGGGUUGGGCUGUUCGCCCAUUAAAGCGGUACGCGAGCUGGGUUCAGAACGUCGUGAGACAGUUCGGUCCCUAUCCGUCGUGGGCGUAGGAAAUUUGAGAGGAGCUGUCCUUAGUACGAGAGGACCGGGAUGGACAUACCUCUGGUGUACCAGUUGUCGUGCCAACGGCAUAGCUGGGUAGCUAUGUGUGGACGGGAUAAGUGCUGAAAGCAUCUAAGCAUGAAGCCCCCCUCAAGAUGAGAUUUCCCAACUUCGGUUAUAAGAUCCCUCAAAGAUGAUGAGGUUAAUAGGUUCGAGGUGGAAGCAUGGUGACAUGUGGAGCUGACGAAUACUAAUCGAUCGAAGACUUAAUCAA